rnacentral:rRNA from 1 species
CCUACGGGCGGCAGCAGUGAGGAAUAUUGGUCAAUGGACGAGAGUCUGAACCAGCCAAGUAGCGUGAAGGAUGACUGCCCUAUGGGUUGUAAACUUCUUUUAUCUGGGAAUAAAAUGUUCCACGUGUGGGAUUUUGUAUGUACCAUAUGAAUAAGGAACGGCUAACUUCGUGCCAGCAGCCGCGGUAAUUAGGAGGAUCCGAGCGUUAUUCGGAUUUAUUGGGUUUAAAGGGAGCGUAGGUGGAUUGUUUAGUCAGUUGUGAAAGUUUGCGGCUCAACCGUAAAAUUGCAGUUGAAACUGGCAGUCUUGAGUACAGUAGAGGUGGGCGGAAUUCGUGGUGUAGCGGUGAAAUGCUUAGAUAUCACGAAGAACUCCGAUUGCGAAGGCAGUUCACUGGACUGCAACUGACACUGAGGCACGAAAGUGUGGGUAUCAAACAGGAUUAGAUACCCCAGUAGUC